AUUGAACGCUGGCGGCAUGCCUAACACAUGCAAGUCGAGCGGAUGAAGGGAGCUUGCUCCUGGAUUCAGCGGCGGACGGGUGAGUAAUGCCUAGGAAUCUGCCUGGUAGUGGGGGAUAACGUCCGGAAACGGGCGCUAAUACCGCAUACGUCCUGAGGGAGAAAGUGGGGGAUCUUCGGACCUCACGCUAUCAGAUGAGCCUAGGUCGGAUUAGCUAGUUGGUGGGGUAAAGGCCUACCAAGGCGACGAUCCGUAACUGGUCUGAGAGGAUGAUCAGUCACACUGGAACUAAGACACGGUCCAGACUCCUACGGGAGGCAGCAGUGGGGAAUAUUGGACAAUGGGCGAAAGCCUGAUCCAGCCAUGCCGCGUGUGUGAAGAAGGUCUUCGGAUUGUAAAGCACUUUAAGUUGGGAGGAAGGGCAGUAAGUUAAUACCUUGCUGUUUUGACGUUACCAACAGAAUAAGCACCGGCUAACUUCGUG
rnacentral:rRNA from 1 species